GGCGCAACUAGAAACAAACAACGAAGCAAAAAAACUAGAUUUAUAUCGGGUUAUGCCACAACGUCUUCUAGAGCGAAUAUAGAUACAAGUAUCAAAUUCAACUUUUGGGAUGGAUUCAUUUGUGGUCGGCUCAUCAGCGUGUACAACCCUUGAUUGAAAAGCUUUCGAUAGCUACGGAAACAUUGGAUUCGGGUAUUUAGACGCGUUGGCGUUGGCUUAUCAGAUUCAAGUCGAUGGUUUCCCGUUAGCAAAUCCGAGCUCCGAAUGCCCCAUCAAGAUGCGAUGUAACUGAGGUGAACAAAUUUAUUAUUAUUAUUAUUACAAACAGCUGUCGCUGAAUUUCCGCAGGACGCCAGCGCGGUCGAGAGUCAUCAGUAUUCAACAAACAUGCAGCUGUUGUCAAUUAAUCCAUAUUUCCGUUGGGCGAGGAAGCGCACUUCUAAGGCAAAUAUUUCCGUCAUCAGGUCCUGUUAUGUGUUUUUUGCCUUAAACAAUCUGCUGUAUGUUCAGUAACAUUUACCCAUGAGUCGGAACGUUUACAAUGAAUUCUCUAUUAUCCGCACCUAACGUCAAACAGUUUACCAGUAACCGCAUAUGUAUGCAGUUUGUCGGAUCGAGGGAAGACCACAUGCAUUAUGGCGAAAGAACACGAUCGAUAUAUUGGUGCCAUGUCACGUAGCAAGACCAUUUGGAAUGGUGACGAGGGCUUACGUAGAUACUGAUUUAGGCGAUAAUAUCACACCUUAGCUCUGACCAGCAGGCUUUCGUCCUAAGUGCUUUAUGACAUUGUGAAUUUCGAAGAGAUGAUAUGGCCCUUUAAUCUCAUUCUUCAAUUAUGG